rnacentral:rRNA from 1 species
CGCGCAGGCGGCCAGGCCAGUCGGAGGUGAAAUCCCUCGGCUCAACCGAGGAACUGCCUCCGAUACUGCAUGGCUUGAGUCCCGGAGAGGGUAGCGGAAUUCCUAGUGUAGCGGUGAAAUGCGUAGAUAUUAGGAGGAACACCAGUGGCGAAGGCGGCUACCUGGACGGGUACUGACGCUGAGGCGCGAAAGCGUGGGGAGCAAACA